AGGCGGGGCCACCUACUAAGAUUAAGCCUAUCAAUAAGUGGAGGAAAAGAAACUUACUAGGAUUCCCCUAGUAACGGCAAGCGAAUUGGGAACUGCCCAACAUGGGAAUCGAGUGGCCCCGCUGCUCGAAUUGUAGUAUGUAGAAGCGUCCUCAGCGGCGGACUGGGCACAAGUCCCUUGGAAGGGGGUGUCGGAGAGGGUAAGAACCCCAUCGUGCCCGGACCCUGCCGCACCACGAGACGUUGUUGGGUUGUUUGAAAAUGCAGCCCUAAUUGGGUUGUAAAUUCAGUCUAAGGCUAAAUACCGACGAGAGACCCAUAGCUGGGUUGUUUGAAAAUGCAGCCUUAAUUGGGUGGUAAAUUCAGUCCAAGGCUAAAUACCGACGAGAGACCCAUAACAAAUAAAUACCGCGAGGGAAA
rnacentral:ncRNA from 1 species